UACGUAGGGUGCGAGCGUUGUCCGGAAUUAUUGGGCGUAAAGAGCUCGUAGGCGGUGUGUCACGUCGGCCGUGAAAACCUGCAGCUUAACUGUGGGCGUGCGGUCGACACGGGCAUCACUGGAGUUCGGCAGGGGAGACUGGAAUUCCUGGUGUAGCGGUGAAAUGCGCAGAUAUCAGGAGGAACACCGGUGGCGAAGGCGGCUCACUGGCUCAUAUCUGACGCUCAGGCGCGACAGCGUGGGGAUCAAACAGG
rnacentral:rRNA from 1 species